GAGUUUGAUCCUGGCUCAGAUUGAACGCUGGCGGCAUGCCUUACACAUGCAAGUCGAACGGCAGCACGGGAGCUUGCUCCUGGUGGCGAGUGGCGAACGGGUGAGUAAUGCAUCGGAACGUAUCCUGGAGUGGGGGAUAACGUAGCGAAAGUUACGCUAAUACCGCAUAUUCUGUGAGCAGGAAAGCGGGGGACCUUCGGGCCUCGCGCUCUUGGAGCGGCCGAUGUCGGAUUAGCUAGUUGGUGAGGUAAAGGCUCACCAAGGCGACGAUCCGUAGCAGGUCUGAGAGGAUGAUCUGCCACACUGGAACUGAGACACGGUCCAGACUCCUACGGGAGGCAGCAGUGGGAAUUUUGGACAAUGGGGGCAACCCUGAUCCAGCCAUGCCGCGUGAGUGAAGAAGG
rnacentral:rRNA from 3 species